GGGAUAGCAAAGGAGGAAGAGAAGAAAAUCUUCUGAAAUGUGAGCAAAUACAUUUUGUCCCCAAGUCUCUAAGAUAUCCAUGAACAUAUUUUCCUAUGUGGGUGGGAAGAUCUCAUAAGGACACAGCUAGAUGAUCUGUAGAUGAGUAAGACUUUAAGGUGAUUGCCACUACAAUUACGUUUUCCCACCCAGAAGUUUUCAAGACUGUUUUCCCACUUGAUUGGCUGCUUGAGGCCUCUGGGAAUUUCAGGAGAAAAGCAAAAUAGUUGUCAAAGAAUGAAAAUGCAGAAGAGAAGGAGCCCCACACAACUGAGAGUGCUAAACUAAAAGAAAAGCCUUGAAGGAGUCAGGGGACAAAGAGAAAGAUCAGUAAAACAUCGACCCAAAUAUUCACAGUAACAACAGAGAGAGCUCUGAGACCCCUUGUGUAUAAGCCAGGCAUUUCUGUAAAGCAAUUGGGCCUGAGCUGACAGAGAAGAUUUCAGAGAAAUCUUCAGAGAAGAUUUCUCACUUUCUAGAGCUGCUGAAGGUCCUGGGUAGUUAGAGUCUAAGCCAAAUCCAACCCAUUUCUGCCCCACAUGAGCCAAAUUUGUGAGGCCUGCUCAUUCCUCCUUGUCCUGGUCCCAGUACGUUCAAAAGCCAUAUUCAGUGCUGCUGGUGAGACUGGGCCCAGGGACAGACCAAAGCGUGCGGGUGAUAUUAAUGCAGGCAGUGUGGAGCACUACACCUUCUCAGAGCGGAUCUGGACAGCUUCCCAGUCGAUACAUCCUUGCAUCUCAUUUCAGAACAAGGAGACAGUGAAAGGCCCGUCUGGUGCGGCGGCUCCUCUCCCCAGCCCCACACAAGCCUCCUUCCUAAGAAGCCUUCUGAAAAGCCUCUGCUCACCAACCCCACUUAACGAUGACACCAUUUUUUCCAUCCUGACUUUCUCAUCUUUGAUUACGUCAUCCUCUUCUAGAUAAGUGUGAGUGUUUGUUAACAUAAUGACAUUACCGUCCAAUUUUAGCAAAGCAAUUAAGGAUGUAUUUAAUUUGAAGAAUCUCAGUUGUUU
rnacentral:lncRNA from 1 species